AUGCACAAUUCAUUGUCCUGCUCUUUUUUUAAUAUAAGAGUAGUGCUAUUUCUGUUGUGCUAGAAAAACAGCUGGAGGUAAAUUAGCAGAGUGGCUACCUGGUGCCAUCUCUGCCAGUCCCCUUCACACAAUU
ensembl:snoRNA